rnacentral:lncRNA from 1 species
ACAUAAUACCACGCUUCGCACAAAUUCAAAUAAAAUAAUUAUUAGUUACUAAUUAGGUAUAUUUUGAACAUUAAAAUUCUCUACUCCUCAUGAAUGGAUCUCUUCUCUCAAGUCAUAAGUCAUAGCUGACUCUAUACGACUCAUACCUUUUCAGCCUUUUUAGGUCAUUUUGAACUUACUAAAAAAUUUAUGUGGACGUAUUGGAAUUUUCUUUGGGUACAAAAUCUGAAGAAUGUUUUCCAGCACAUCCUGAGGAAUAUAUUCAUAUUAAAACAUAUCAAGAGCUUUUGCAAAAAUUGAAAAAGGUAAAAGACAUGAAUUGCUCUCGUUAAAUUCAACUAGAAGUUGGAAAGGAGAUGAUUGUUGAGCUGAAGAAAAAAAUUCAUCAAAGAGGGACUAGGGUCCGUAAAUGCGAAGAGAAAUAUGUAUAUCUGAAAAAUUCCCUCAUAAAUAUUUAAAACUGAGACCAGAUAAAUCUAUUGAGUGAGACCUCAAAAGUGAGGGCAUAUUCAGAUAAGACGAUUAAGAAAUCUCUCCAAUUGAGGCUAUCCUGUGGGACAAGUGGCCAUCAAAUAUUAAUUAGUCAUGGGUAUCCACUUCCAAGCAAUUGGACUCUACAGCGAAAUCUGAAGCACAUCGAUUUUCAACCAGGAAUCCUCCAUACUGUAAUGAACUUGCUCCAACUGAAGACCAAAACCAUGGAAGAUAGCAACAAGUAUUGUGGUAUUGUGAUGGACGAAAUGUCGAUUAAAUCAACUCUCGAAUAUGAUGUUGGUGACCAAUUAGUAAGAGGUUACGAUACCGUUAAGCCGUCAAGUGAUGAGUUGGCCACACAUGUUCUAGUAUUUGCAUUAGUUGGAGUCAAAACUCGUUGUUAGCAGGUCGUUGCCUACCAUUUUACUGGAUCGAGUUUCAAUAAAGAAGAUGCCGCCUUGGCUUUAAAGGAAAUAACAAUUGCUGCUCAUAAGCCCGGGUUGAUAGUCAUCCACAUAACAUCCUGCUUGAUAUAAUAAGAAGUUCGACACCUCAAUGUAGGAUUUGGUAGAAAGUAUAAUUCCUUUUUGUACUAGCUUCCAAGUACAGUACAUUCAUUUUUGUUUCCUAUUCCUAUAGAACUAAUUAAUUUAUUAAAAUCUUGCAAGAAAAUCACUGCCGAAUAAAACUUAUUUAUGUUGGUCUUACUUAGCGCUGUUCCCAAGUUUCUUGAUGUCAUUAAAUUAAACCAGUGACCAACUUGCUCACAAAACCAAGCAGCCCUUAAAUAAGAUUCCGGAUAAUCAAAUUUAUCAACCAAAAAUCUUAUUCCACUUCCAGUUUCAUGACUAAGAAGGUCUGAAGCAAAUAAAACUUUCAUCUUUUCAAAAUUUCCAAGAUUAAUACUCUUGGUAGAAAGACGAGGCUGGAAUUUGGCUCCCGAUCUCUUUGGAAUAGUAUUAAAUCUUGGAAGGGCUGUAAUGAUAUCGUAGAUGAGGGGAAUUUAUACGUAGAGACUAUGUCUGCUGCCAGUGUGAUAUCUUGGCCAUUAGUAAGAUGGUUACGUAAUUUUUUUUAAGAUAUGAGGAACAUCAACAAAAAUGAAAAGAUCCUUCAAGGAAGAAACGGGAUUAGGAAUUUUAUUCCUAUUGAUUAAAAUUCCUUCUAAACUCCUUGAUUACAAGGACCCAUAUCUGAUGUUAUAUCAGAAGAGGAUAAACAAUCAAUAAAAACACUUUCAUAAUCAUAGAAUCAUUUUACAUGAGUUUUAUUCAUCUUACUUCAAUUUGGUGAUUGUCUGGAUGAUGAAAAAUGUCUCUGAACGAUAAUAGUCUCGAAUACUUCUCAAACAUGACAACCCAGAGAAAAACUGAGAUCAGUUCUGGAUUUUGCACUCAAGGAUAAAUUAUAUUCUGAGUUUAAUUUCAUUGGUGGAUCUGAACAAAUCGGAAAAGUGACGUUCCAGACACUGGCGGAAGUAAAAAAUCACAACAUACUAUUACGUCAAUGGUAUUAUGUGUUAGAAUAGCUGAAAAAAUGAUUCAGUUUUUUUUUUCAGGUCAGUUAAUUCAUGUAAGAAUUCACGUAACUUCUUUCUAUAUACAUUUUCAGUACAUCUCCCUUCUAUUUAGGUACGUAAAACUCUCGAAAGGUCCACAGUGAAUGUUGAAUUAUGAAAAAAGAAUUGCUUUCAUGAAAUAAAUUUACGUUGAAGAAAUACAUGGGAGAGUAUCAGUUUUUACUUGUGUACAUUAUUCUUUAACUAUAUAUAAAAAGAUCAUUUUAAAUUAUAUGAAAUCAAUUAAUUUUUAAGAAGAAUAUGUGAUGUAGGCAACUGAGUGUUACUAUAUAUCUAAUUAGAUAAAGUAUUAUUGAUAAUUUAAAUUAUGUAGUCAAUGAUCAU